rnacentral:misc_RNA from 1 species
CUUUGGUUCAAUCUCCGAUCAGUUAAUUAGUAGAAAUGGAUCACCAUGAAGAUGAGUACCGUGCUACAGGUGAACCACAGGCCAAGCAAGAGGAUGAGGAAGCUCUGGCUCGACUUGAGGAAAUGAAGAAAUCGGUUGAGGCAAAAGUUGCUCUUCUCCAAAGCAAUUUGAAUCCUGAAAGGCCUGAUUCAGGAUUCCUCAGAACACUGGAUUCAAGCAUUAAGCGAAAUACGGCAGUUAUUAAAAAAUUAAAGCAGAUAAAUGAAGAGCAGAGGGAAGGGCUAAUGGAUGAGUUGCGAAAUGUAAACCUUAGCAAAUUUGUUAGUGAAGCCGUGACAGCUAUUUGUGAUGCAAAGCUUAGAACUUCUGACUUACAAGCAGCAGUUCAGAUCUGCUCUUUGCUUCAUCAAAGGUACAAAGACUUUUCACCAAGUCUGGUACAAGGGCUUUUGAAGGUCUUUUUUCCUGGAAAAUCAGGGGAAGACUUGGAAGUGGACAGGAACUCAAAGGCUAUGAAGAAGCGGAGCACCUUGAAACUGCUUUUGGAACUUUACUUUGUUGGAGUUAUAGAAGACAGCAGUAUUUUCAUCAAUAUCAUUAAGGAUCUU